UACGUAGGGUGCAAGCGUUAAUCGGAAUUACUGAGCGUAAAGCGUGCGCAGGCGGUUGUGCAAGACAGAUGUGGAAUCCCCGGGCUCAACCUGGGAAUUGCAUUUGUGACUGCACGGCUAGAGUGUGUCAGAGGGGGGUAGAAUUCCACGUGUAGCAGUGAAAUGCGUAGAGAUGUGGAGGAAUACCGAUGGCGAAGGCAGCCCCCUGGGAUAACACUGACGCUCAUGCACGAAAGCGUGGGGAGCAAACAGG
rnacentral:rRNA from 1 species